rnacentral:lncRNA from 1 species
UUCAUAAUACAUGCAUAGAUGCCAACCCCCUUUUGACACAAUCAGUAACAAACUAUCAAAUUUUCCGUAUUUUUGAAAAGUUUUCAGUAAUCAUUCAUAAACGUGCAUUUACCAAUAAAAAUUACUGACGAGUGGUUGCAAAGUGAUGUACACUAAAAUUUGUCAUUUAACAUGUUGUCUGUAGUAUGUAUUCCAUUCAUUAAUUGUUCAGAUGUUCUCGACUCAAACAUUUUGUUUUUGUCAAGGAGAAGUAGAGAAAGGGGGAAAGCUACUUAAUAAAAUGCAAGUUUGCCUCUUCGGAAGUCAGUUAGUUACCCAACAAUAGGUUGAUAACUCCUGAGAAACCGGAAGCAUUACAUUGGCGUUUCC